UACGUAGGGAGCAAGCGUUGUCCGGAAUUAUUGGGCGUAAAGAGCGUGUAGGCGGCCCGAUAAGUCCGCUGUGAAAGUCCAGGGCUCAACCCUGGGAUGCCGGUGGAUACUGUCGGGCUCGAGUCCGGAAGAGGAGUGUGGAAUUCCUGGUGUAGCGGUGAAAUGCGCAGAUAUCAGGAGGAACACCAAUGGCGAAGGCAGCACUCUGGGACGUGACUGACGCUGAGACGCGAAAGCGUGGGGAGCAGACAGG
rnacentral:rRNA from 1 species